AGGGUUUGAUCAUGGCUCAGAUUGAACGCUGGCGGCAUGCCUUACACAUGCAAGUCGAACGGCAGCACGGGGGCAACCCUGGUGGCGAGUGGCGAACGGGUGAGUAAUACAUCGGAACGUGUCCUGUAGUGGGGGAUAGCCCGGCGAAAGCCGGAUUAAUACCGCAUACGAUCUACGGAAGAAAGCGGGGGAUCUUCGGACCUCGCGCUAUAGGGGCGGCCGAUGGCAGAUUAGCUAGUUGGUGGGGUAAAGGCCUACCAAGGCGACGAUCUGUAGCUGGUCUGAGAGGACGACCAGCCACACUGGGACUGAGACACGGCCCAGACUCCUACGGGAGGCAGCAGUGGGGAAUUUUGGACAAUGGGGGCAACCCUGAUCCAGCAAUGCCGCGUGUGUGAAGAAGGCCUUCGGGUUGUAAAGCACUUUUGUCCGGAAAGAAAACGUCUUGGUUAAUACCCGGGGCGGAUGACGGUACCGGAAGAAUAAGCACCGGCUAACUACGUGCCAGCAGCCGCGGUAAUACGUAGGGUGCGAGCGUUAAUCGGAAUUACUGGGCGUAAAGCGUGCGCAGGCGGUCUGUUAAGACCGAUGUGAAAUCCCCGGGCUUAACCUGGGAACUGCAUUGGUGACUGGCAGGCUUUGAGUGUGGCAGAGGGGGGUAGAAUUCCACGUGUAGCAGUGAAAUGCGUAGAGAUGUGGAGGAAUACCGAUGGCGAAGGCAGCCCCCUGGGCCAACACUGACGCUCAUGCACGAAAGCGUGGGGAGCAAACAGGAUUAGAUACCCUAGUAGUCC
rnacentral:rRNA from 1 species